rnacentral:rRNA from 1 species
AACAAACGCUGGCGGCGUGCCUAAUACAUGCAAGUCGAACGGGGAAAGCUUUCGGGUGAGUACUAGUGGCGCACGGGUGAGUAAUGCGUGGAUAAUCUGCCUUGAAGAGGGGGAUAACCAGUCGAAAGAUUGGCUAAUACCGCAUAAGACCACAGGAACUGAGGUUCUAGAGGUCAAAGGUUUUUCGCUUCAAGAUGAGUCCGCGUAAGAUUAGCUAGUUGGUGAGAUAACGGCUCACCAAGGCGACGAUCUUUAACUGGUCUGAGAGGAUGAUCAGUCACACUGGAACUGAGACACGGUCCAGACUCCUACGGGAGGCAGCAGUAGGGAAUAUUGCACAAUGGAGGAAACUCUGAUGCAGCGACGCCGCGUGAGUGAUGAAGGCCUUCGGGUCGUAAAGCUCUGUCGCAGGGGAAUAACACAAUGAAGGUACCCUGUAAGAAAGGAUCGGCUAACUUCGUGCCAGCAGCCGCCGUAACAC